rnacentral:rRNA from 1 species
UACAGAGGUCUCAAGCGUUGUUCGGAUUCAUUGGGCGUAAAGGGUGUGUAGGUGGCGCCGUAAGUCGGGUGUGAAAUUUCGGAGCUUAACUCCGAAACUGCGUUCGAUACUGCGGUGCUUGAGGACUGGAGAGGAGACUGGAAUUCAUGGUGUAGCAGUGAAAUGCGUAGAGAUCAUGAGGAAGACCAGUGGCGAAGGCGGGUCUCUGGACAGUUCCUGACACUGAGACACGAAGGCCAGGGGAGCAAACGGG